rnacentral:tRNA from 1 species
GCCCGGGUGGCUCAGUGGGUUGAGCGUCUGACUUCAGCUCAGGUCAUGACCUCACAGCUCGUGGGUUCGAGCCCCGCAUCAGGUG